UACGGAGGGGGCUAGCGUUGUUCGGAAUUACUGGGCGUAAAGCGCACGUAGGCGGCUUUGCAAGUUAGAGGUGAAAGCCCGGGGCUCAACUCCGGAAUUGCCUUUAAAACUGCAUCGCUAGAAUUGUGGAGAGGUAAGUGGAAUUCCGAGUGUAGAGGUGAAAUUCGUAGAUAUUCGGAAGAACACCAGUGGCGAAGGCGACUCACUGGACACGUAUUGACGCUGAGGUGCGAAAGCGUGGGGAGCAAACAGGG
rnacentral:rRNA from 1 species